CCUACGGGAGGCAGCAGUGGGGAAUUUUCCGCAAUGGGCGAAAGCCUGACGGAGCAAUACCGCGUGAGGGAGGACGGCUUUUGGGUUGUAAACCUCUUUUAUCAGGGAAGAGUCGAUGACGGUACCUGAUGAAUCAGCAUCGGCUAACUCCGUGCCAGCAGCCGCGGUAAUACGGAGGAUGCAAGCGUUAUCCGGAAUUAUUGGGCGUAAAGCGUCCGUAGGUGGUUUAUCAAGUCUGCUGUCAAAGCGUGCGGCUUAACCGCAUAAGGGCAGUGGAAACUGAUGAACUAGAGUGCGAUAGGGGUAACAGGAAUUCCCAGUGUAGCGGUGAAAUGCGUAGAUAUUGGGAAGAACACCAGCGGCGAAAGCGUGUUACUGGGUCUGCACUGACACUGAGGGACGAAAGCUAGGGGAGCGAAAGGGAUUAGAUACCCCAGUAGUC
rnacentral:rRNA from 1 species